rfam:Anopheles minimus strain MINIMTS1 unplaced genomic scaffold supercont1.3, whole genome shotgun sequence.
CAUUGGCAAAAUCCUAUCCCUACCUCCUCGUGGUGCUGGCGGAUAGGGCAUGCUGAGUCUCACUAGCCCAGUAUGCCUGAACUAACAGGGAAGG